CCUGAGGCGGCUGCCGCUGGCGGUGAGGGAUGAGGGGGUCCGGUCCUCCCGGUAGCGGCCUGCCGUCCGCACGGGUAGCGGGCGACAUCCCGGCCCAAGGAAAGAGUUCCCGGGAAUCAUGCGCUCGCGGUGAGCCGCCUGCUCGUCCGUCAGAGUAUUGGCAGGGCCAAGGUGAAGCGAGGGCUGGAGACGACGGGGCCGUGUAGAGCGUGAAGGGAAAAAAAAGAAAAAAAGAAGACAAAUGAAAAAGAAGAGAAAGCGCUUUGCCUCGGAACUGUUUGGUGGGGUGGUGACCCUGGGCCCGAGUCAGGCAGCUUGCUCCGAAAUACCUUUAAAUAAAGGUAUUCCAGAGGAGAUAGGAAUUCUAGAAUAUUUACAGAUAUUAAGAUUAUAUGUUUUCCUCUUUGGUAGGAUGGUCUUAAUCUUUCUCUGUCUCUUCCAGUGUACUAUCGAUACACGGCAGUGAUGCAUCUGUCUUCCCGUCUUUAGAAAUACGUCAGGGAAGAAGUUGUUUAAGUUGUUUAAGCGGCAGGAUGAUGAUAGCGCAAGGACAAAUAAUAUUACUGUGAUUUGCUAUCAUGAAUAAAUUGGCUGAGAAAUGGUAAAAGGAGCCAAUUACUGUGACAAGAAGGUUUUGAAAAUGUCUUCUGGUAGCACCAAUGAGGAACAAAAAAUUAAUUUGAGAAAGAGAAACUGAGACUACACUUCCAUAAAAGGGCCGUCUUGCUCUUCCUUCCACCUUCAACCAACACACUUCUGCCUCCACCCUUGCAUCAGCACGCUUGUGGGAUUGAGUGUGUGGUGAGACAGGGCUGCUGUAGUUCCGUUGUUUGCGAUGUGCUUGCGCUGUUCUUCAUGAGAGGUGGGAGGUGACUGAGGAGCUGAUCUGGCUGACAACUAAGCGGGCGAUGUAGUUCGGUGAUACAUCUCUGGUCAACCUGCUUGUGUCUGUGCACUUCUCUCGUGCCAACUCUGGUGCUCUGAACUAUUUAUACCAUAAAACUAUUUUGGGGAGGUUAAUAAUGCCUGACACAAUGUUAAUAAAGAUCAAGGAAUGUUUCACAGUCUUUUAAAGUCCUCACCUUUUCAGCAUCUGGGAUCUUUAAAAAUGU